rnacentral:rRNA from 1 species
UACAGAGGUCCCAAGCGUUGUUCGGAUUUACUGGGCGUAAAGGGUGCGUAGGCGGGUCUUUAAGUCAGGGGUGAAAUCCUGGAGCUCAACUCCAGAACUGCCUUUGAUACUGAGGAUCUUGAGUUCGGGAGAGGUGAGUGGAACUGCGAGUGUAGAGGUGAAAUUCGUAGAUAUUCGCAAGAACACCAGUGGCGAAGGCGGCUCACUGGCCCGAUACUGACGCUGAGGCACGAAAGCGUGGGGAGCAAACAGG